rnacentral:rRNA from 1 species
AAUGGCUCAUUAAAUCAGUUAUCGUUUAUUUGAUAGUACCUUACUACAUGGAUAACCGUGGUAAUUCUAGAGCUAAUACAUGCUAAAAACCUCGACUUCGGAAGGGGUGUAUUUAUUAGAUAAAAAACCAAUGCCCUUCGGGGCUCCUUGGUGAAUCAUAAUAACUUAACGAAUCGCAUGGCCUUGCGCCGGCGAUGGUUCAUUCAAAUUUCUGCCCUAUCAACUUUCGAUGGUAGGAUAGUGGCCUACCAUGGUAUCAACGGGUAACGGGGAAUUAGGGUUCGACUCCGGAGAGGGAGCCUGAGAAACGGCUACCACAUCCAAGGAAGGCAGCAGGCGCGCAAAUUACCCAAUCCCGACACGGGGAGGUAGUGACAAUAAAUACUGAUACAGGGCUCUUUUGGGUCUUGUAAUUGGAAUGAGUACAAUUUAAAUCCCUUAACG